GACGAACGCUGGCGGCGUGCUUAACACAUGCAAGUCGAACGGAAAGUCCCUGCUUUUGUGGGGUGCUCGAGUGGCGAACGGGUGAGUAACACGUGAGUAACCUGCCCUUGACUUUGGGAUAACUUCAGGAAACUGGGGCUAAUACCGGAUAGGAGCUCCUGCUGCAUGGUGGGGGUUGGAAAGUUUCGGCGGUUGGGGGUGGACUCGCGGCUUAUCAGCUUGUUGGUGGGGUAGUGGCUUACCAAGGCUUUGACGGGUAGCCGGGCUGAGAGGGUGACCGGACACAGUGGGACUGAGAUACGGCACAGACUCGUACGGGAGGCAGCAGUGGGGAAGAGUGCACAAUGGGCGGAAGCCUGAUGCAGCAACGCCGCGUGCGGGAUGACGGCCUUCGGGUUGUAAACCGAUGUCGCCUGUGACGAAGCGUGAGUGACGGUAAUGGGUAAAGAAGCACCGGCUAACUACGUG
rnacentral:rRNA from 1 species